rnacentral:rRNA from 1 species
GACGAACGCUGGCGGCGUGCUUAACACAUGCAAGUCGAACGGAGUGGCAAACGGGUGAGUAACACGUAAACAACCUGCCUUCAGGCUGGGGACAACAGACGGAAACGACUGCUAAUACCGAAUACCUGAAGAGGGGUUUGCGUCUGAUUAGGCAGUUGGUGGGGUAACGGCCCACCAACCCAACGAACAGGAGCCGGUCUGAGAGGAUGAACGGCCACACUGGAACUGAGCCACGGUCCAGACGCCUACGGGAGGCAGCAGUGGGGAAGAUUGCACAAUGGGCGCAAGCCUGAUGCAGCCAUGCCGCGUGUAUGAAGAAGGCCCUAGGGUUGUAAAGUACUUUCAGUCGGGAGGCGUUACCGACAGAAGAAGCACCGGCUAACUCCGUGCCAGCAGCCGCGGUAAUUC